rnacentral:rRNA from 1 species
AGUGAGCGGCAACAGCUCAAAUUUGAAAUCUGGCCUUCGGGUCCGAGUUGUAAUUUGCAGAGGAUGCUUUUGACAAGGCGGCGACCGAGUCCCCUGGAAUGGGGCGCCUUAGAGGGUGAGAGCCCCGUAUGGUCGCACUGCUGAGUCUCUGUAAAGCUCCUUCAACGAGUCGAGUAGUUUGGGAAUGCUGCUCUAAAUGGGAGGUGUAUGUCUUCUAAAGCUAAAUACCGGCUAGUGACCGAUAGCGCACAAGUAGAGUGAUCGAAAGGUGAAAAGAACUUUGAAAAGAGAGUUAAAAAGUACGUGAAAUUGUCAAAAGGGAAGCAUUUAUGACCAGACUUGGGCGUGGUUGAUCAUCCGGCGUUCUCGCCGGUGCACUCUGCCCGCCUAGGCCAGCAUCAGUUCGCCUCGGGGGAAAAAGGCACUGGGAAUGUAGCUCUUUCGGGAGUGUUAUAGCCCUAUGCGUAAUGCCCUGGGGUGGACUGAGGUCCGCGCUCGCGCUUGGAUGUUGGCAUAAUGGUCAUCAAUGACCCGUCUUG